rnacentral:tRNA from 1 species
GCCGAGGUGGCGAAAUGGUAUACGCAAGGGCCUUAAGAGCCCUCGAGUGCAUAACUCAUGCGGGUCCGAGUCCCGCCCUCGGCACAA